rnacentral:rRNA from 1 species
UACGGAGGGAGCUAGCGUUGUUCGGAAUUACUGGGCGUAAAGCGCGCGUAGGCGGCUUUGUAAGUUAGAGGUGAAAGCCCGGGGCUCAACCCCGGAACUGCCUUUGAUACUGCAAAUCUCGAGUCCGGAAGAGGUGAGUGGAAUUCCUAGUGUAGAGGUGAAAUUCGUAGAUAUUAGGAAGAACACCAGUGGCGAAGGCGGCUCACUGGUCCGGUACUGACGCUGAGGUGCGAAAGCGUGGGGAGCAAACAGG